UGGGGAAUAUUGCACAAUGGGGGAAACCCUGAUGCAGCGACGCCGCGUGAACGAAGAAGGUAUUCGUAUCGUAAAGUUCUGUCCUAUGGGAAGAUAAUGACAGUACCAUAGAAGAAAGCUCCGGCUAAAUACGUGCCAGCAGCCGCGGUAAUACGUAUGGAGCGAGCGUUGUCCGGAAUUAUUGGGCGUAAAGGGUACGCAGGCGGUUUAAUAAGUCGAAUGUUAAAGAUCGGGGCUCAACCCCGCAAAGCAUUGGAAACUGAUAAACUUGAGUAGUGGAGAGGAAAGUGGAAUUCCUAUUGUAGUGGUGAAAUACGUAGAUAUUAGGAGGAAUACCAGUAGCGAAGGCGACUUUCUGGACACAAACUGACGCUGAGGUACGAAAGCGUGGGGAGCAAACAGG
rnacentral:rRNA from 1 species